UCUUGUCACCUCUGACGAAGCCCAUGUUGGUAGGGACAUCUGAGAGUCCAACUCUCAGAGUUGGAUGAAUGCCAACUGCUCUGAUGGAAAAUA
rfam:Otolemur garnettii contig140352, whole genome shotgun sequence.